UCGACUGUCAGCGCUUCCUCUAGUUUGGUCAACGUUAAUUUUGUUAUGCGGUGGUGUGUAUGGAUUGCGGUAUUGUUCCUUGUGAGUCUGGAGAUGUGGCACAGUGAUUCUCGGCCGAAGGAUCUUUCAAAAUGUUAUCUGGAAGCGCCAAAAAGGGGUCUCCGCUUCAGUCUCCGAUAAACCUGACCAGUCUUGCUUAUGGUAACUUGGAGCAAUGGUGGCAGCUUGCAAAGUGGCGACGAACAAAGCAGCGGACUCCAGCACAAUGGGAAUCUCAGCUUUGAAGCUUGUCCUCUUCCUUGAGCCACCAGACCAAGGAGAAGGUGAAAGAGCAUGGUUUUUAGCUAUGGAGGCUUAAUUGAGUGUCAGGCUAGUAGGUUUUCAUUCAACUCGAAUGGUCUUUUGCAGCUCAAAAUACAACUUGGGCAGCAAAGAAGCACACACGUGCAGCAUUGUUGA